AAGGAGCACUUCUAGGCCGUCUAGGCGGUCCAGAGGCCAGUACAUCAGCGAAUGUCUGAUGCUGGUUGCUCAUGGGUGGAACGUUGACUACUCGGUCGGAAUGCCGGGCUGGUGGCUGCUAGUACUGCUCUUCGGAGCGUGGAACGCAUGAUCACCGGACGGAGUCUGGCCGGGCACGCUGUUGGGUAUCUGAGGGAGCGAUUAACCCCUCAGUUGCCGGCCCCAGUGCACUCGGACCUGUUGGUUCGGGGUGAUGGGUGGCUGGUCGUUG
rnacentral:misc_RNA from 1 species